rnacentral:rRNA from 1 species
UACAGAGGUCUCAAGCGUUGUUCGGAUUCAUUGGGCGUAAAGGGUGCGUAGGUGGCGCUGUAAGUCGGGUGUGAAAUUUCGGAGCUUAACCCCAAGCCUGCUUCCGAUACGGGCGGACUAGAGGUAGGCAGGGGAGAACGGAAUUCCUGGUGUAGCGGUGAAAUGCGCAGAUAUCAGGAGGAACACCGGUGGCGAAGGCGGUUCUCUGGGCCUUACCUGACGCUGAGGAGCGAAAGCGUGGGGAGCAAACAGG